CUCGGAAUACACAGAGAGGGCAAAACAACAAAAUGAAUUGAUCACAUGCUCACCUCUCCCUCCAACUUCUACUCUCUCUACACGUCACCGAGUCCUGAGAA